GCUUUCUGGGUGAAGCAGACUGUUAUUGGAGCUGUGGGAGUUGACUUUCUGCCCAUGUCUCUAUCCUCAUUUGUUUGCCAUUAGGCCCUUUGGAUGUAACCUAAAGAACUCAAAACAUCCCUCUUGUCUGCCUCAGAAUCAACUCUCAGCAGCGAACCAGCGGGGCAACAGUGCGGAGCAUGCAUACGGGCGCCGUUCUCAUCCCUACCACCUUCGCCGUCACUUCCCCUACCUCU